rnacentral:other from 1 species
GAUUCCCUGGGUUGUGCGCCAGUCAACACGUCCUAAACCCUUUACGCGCUAGCCAGGAGGUCUUUUUUCUCGGUGAAUGUGCAUGUCCGGACUCCGGAACGCCUGUAGCCAGUUAGGGGCCACCGCCUUGAACCGCUGGGUUCAAGGGCUUGUAUGACAGCGGCAAUUUGGGGAAUUU